AAAUGAAUUGACGGGGGCCCGCACAAGCGGCGGAGCAUGCGGCUUAAUUCGAUGCAACGCGAAGAACCUUACCUGGGCUUGACAUAUGGGGAAAUCCGGUAGAGAUACCGGGUCCGCAAGGGCCUCAUACAGGUGGUGCAUGGCUGUCGUCAGCUCGUGUCGUGAGAUGUUGGGUUAAGUCCCGCAACGAGCGCAACCCUCGUCCUAUGUUGCCAGCGAGUAAUGUCGGGGACUCAUAGGAGACUGCCGGGGUCAACUCGGAGGAAGGUGGGGAUGACGUCAAGUCAUCAUGCCCCUUAUGUCCAGGGCUGCACGCAUGCUACAAUGGCCGGUACAAAGGGCUGCGAUACCGUAAGGUGGAGCGAAUCCCAAAAAGCCGGUCUCAGUUCGGAUUGGGGUCUGCAACUCGACCCCAUGAAGUCGGAGUCGCUAGUAAUCGCAGAUCAGCAACGCUGCGGUGAAUACGUUCCCGGGCCUUGUACACACCGCCCGU
rnacentral:rRNA from 1 species